rnacentral:misc_RNA from 1 species
AGCAGCCGCGGUAGUUCCAGCUCCAAUAGCGUAUACUAAAGUUGUUGUGGUUAAAAAGCUCGUAGUUGAACCUUGGGCCUGGCUGGCCGGUCCGCCUCACCGCGUGUACUGGUCCGGCCGGGCCUUUCCCUUUGUGGAACCCCCAUGCCCUUCACUGGGUGUGGCGGGGAAACAGGACUUUUACUUUGAAAAAUUAGAGUGCUCCAGGCAGGCCUAUGCUCGAAUACAUUAGCAUGGAAUAAUAGAAUAGGACGUGUGGUUCUAUUUUGUUGGUUUCUAGGACCGCCGUAAUGAUUAAUAGGGACAGUCGGGGGCAUCAGUAUUCAAUUGUCAGAGGUGAAAUUCUUGGAUUUAUUGAAGACUAACUACUGCGAAAGCAUUUGCCAAGGAUGUUUUCAUUAAUCAGGAACGAAAGUUAGGGGAUCGAAGACGAUCAGAUACCGUCGUAGUCUUAACCAUAAACUAUGCCGACUAGGGAUCGGACGAUGUUAUUUUUUGACUCGUUCGGCACCUUACGGGA